UGUGCAACUGGGAUGAAGUCCCAAAACUAGCUCAAAUAUAUCAACGAGGUACCUUAAAACUCAGUUUCUUGUAUUUUGUUGUUGUUGUUAUGAAACAUGCAAACAAUCUUUUGUGAUUUUCAGUUGUAGCCAACUAUUUUUCAUUUUUAUUUUAAGACAUCAAGGAACAAAACAGAUUUUUUCAAUAAUAUAAUUUUCUUUGAUAAAAGGAUAAAAAAAUAAAAUAAAAAAAGAUACCAAAAUUGCUGCUGAUGUGUUCUAUUCUAAUGAGGAAACCAAAACUGUCAAAAGUCCCUCAAGUUGAACAUCGUUUUCCCUUUGCAUGUACACUGCAUGUGCUCAUAUUCUAUAUUAUCUCCCACCAUUUUCCAAAGGGAGCAUGCUUCUUGUUACUAACAAAGUGUGCAGUCCUGAAACUUUCCAUAUCAAUGAAUGUUUAACAAGUGUCUCCUAGCAGGGCAGUCAAUCAGAUAAAGGCAUUAUGGAAAACACACAUCACUACACGCUUCAAUAGCAAAGGAGUGUCCUAAUGGCCCAUAUAUUUGCAACCUUCAACCUAAUGCUAAAUAUCCCUAGACUCUGAAUAUAAAUAAAACUACUGCAAGUGAAGUUCAAAGUGAUAGGAGUUCAAAGGAGUAAAGCAAGUAAAGUUCAAAAAUGAGCUUCUCGAGCUCGAAGCAUAGAAGUUGGAUGUGGAGGCCAAUACUAUGUGGAUACAAAUGGCAUCAAAGAUUAGAGAAGUAACUAGAAAAGUACUUGGAGAGUCUAGAGGACAUGGACCAUCCUCAAAAGAGAGAUGGUGGUGGA
rnacentral:misc_RNA from 1 species